rnacentral:tRNA from 1 species
GCCGAAGUGGUGGAAUUGGCAGACACGCAUGCCUUAGGAGCAUGUGGGAUAAUUCCCGUGGAGGUUCGAGUCCUCUCUUCGGCA